AGUACGUGAAACUGCUUAGAGGUUAAGCCCGAUGAACCUGAAUAUCCAUUAUGGAAAAUUCAAUAUUAAUAAAAUUAUAUAAAUCAUAUAAUAAAAAUAGUAUGCAAUUUUUCCAUAUAAGGACAUUGUAAUCUGUUAAUGAAAAUAAAAAUUUAUGAAAAGAUCCAUUUACUUAAGUUUAUUCAAAUUGAAUUUUUUUAAAUUUAACAUAAAAUAAAUGUUAUUGGAUUUGAUAAAUCAUUGACAGAUAUAAUUAUAUAAAGUGCUUAAUUUCUUUUAUUAGAAUUUUAUAAUGAUAAAUUGAUUUUUAUUAAUUUAUUUAAUUGUAUGCGCUUUUAUGAUUAACAAUGCUAUAGAUUCAGGAUACCUUCGGGACCCGUCUUGAAACACGGACCAAGGAGUCUAACAUAUGUGCAAGUCAUUGGGUAUUUUUAAUAAAACCCAAUGGCGUAAUUAACUUAACUUAUUAAAUAAAUAUGGGAUUAAUUUAUAUUUUGUCAUGAGAUAUUUAUUCAAUCCCGGGGCGUUCUAUAUAGUUAUGUAUAAUAAUAUUUAUUAUUAUUUAUGCCUCUAACUAGAGCGUACCUUGAGC
rnacentral:rRNA from 1 species